UGCCAGCCGCCGCGGUAAUACGGAGGGCGCAAGCGUUGUUCGGAAUCAUUGGGCGUAAAGCGCGUGUAGGUGGCUUGGAAAGUUGGGUGUGAAAGCCCGGGGCUCAACCCCGGAAGUGCGUUGGAUACUGGCAGUCUUGAGUAUGGGAGAGGAAAGUGGAAUUCCGAGUGUAGGAGUGAAAUCCGUAGAUAUUCGGAGGAACACCAGUGGCGAAGGCGGCUUUCUGGACCAAUACUGACGCUGAGAUGCGAAAGCGUGGGGAGCGAACAGGAUUAGAUA
rnacentral:rRNA from 1 species